GGAAGGGCAAGCCAACUGGCGAUGGCAGCCGCCCCGAAGGCGGUCGAGCGAUGAGCCUUGAGGGUUCGACUCCCUCUCCUUCCG
rnacentral:tRNA from 1 species